rnacentral:misc_RNA from 1 species
GAUGAAGAACGCAGCGAAAUGCGAUAAGUAAUGUGAAUUGCAGAAUUCAGUGAAUCAUAGAAUCUUUGAACGCACAUUGCGCCCGCCAGUAUUCUGGCGGGCAUGCCUGUUCGAGCGUCAUUUCAACCCUCAAGCCCCCGGGCUUGGUGUUGGGGAUCGGCGUGCCCUCGCGGCGCGCCGUCCCCUAAAUCUAGUGGCGGUCUCGCUGUAGCUUCCUCUGCGUAGUAGCAACACUCGCACUGGAUCGCAGCGCGGCCACGCCGUUAAACCCCCCACUUCUGAAAGUUUGACCUCGGAUCAGGUAGGAAUACCCGCUGAACUUAAGCAUAUCAAUAAGCGGAGGA